rnacentral:rRNA from 1 species
GACGAACGCUGGCGGCGUGCUUAAUACAUGCAAGUCGAACGGAAAGGCCCUGCCUUUGUUGGGUGCUUGAGUGGCGAACGGGUGAGUAACACGUAAGUAACCUGCCUUUGACCUUGGGAUAACUUUUGGAAACUGGGGCUAAUACCGCAUAGGAGUUCAUGCUGCAUGGCGGGGGCUGGAAAGUUUCGGUGGCAUGGGUAGCAGGUGCGGCUUCUCUGUAUGAUGGUGAGGUAGCGGUGUCCCAAGGCGUUGACGGGUAGCCGGCCUGAGAGGGUGACCGGCCACAGUGGGCCUGGGGUAGGGGCCAGACUGCUACUGGAGGAAGCGAUGGGAGAUGGUGCGCGAAAGGCGGAAGCCGGGAACAGGGGCGCCGGGUGGGAAAUGUCGGCCUUCGGGGUGGAAACCGCGUUCGCCUGGGACGAUGCGUGUGUGACGGUAAUGGGUAAGAAAGCACCGGCUAACUACGUG